AUCGAGAGAGCGGGAAAUUUCCCGCUCUCUAUUUCCCGGGGAAGCGCAUAAAGCAACAAGAUGGAGAAAAGUUCGACA
rnacentral:sRNA from 1 species